AUGAGUUGCUUAAGCUGGAACUGUCGAGGGCUUGGGAACCCAUCGACAGUUUGAGAGCUUCGCAGUGUGGUGAAGCAGGAAGGGCCAUGUCUCUUGUUUUUGAUGGAGACAAAAAUCUCGGCACAAAGAGUGGAGAGCUUGCAGAAUCUCUUGGGUUUUGUGGGAUGUUUUGCAGUGAACAGUACUGGUCUUAGUGGUGGUAUUGGUUUGUUCUGGAAGGAUGAGCUUGAUGUGGAACUGAAAAACUAUAGCUCAUGCCAUAUUGAUGUGGUGGUUAGAAAAAAGACCCAAACCUCGCAAGUGUGGAGGGUUAAGGGGCUUUAUGGAGCUCCAAAAGUGGAGGAUCGACAACAUAGUUGGAAAUUUCUUCGAACUCUCUUUGGAAUACAACAUGAUGCGUGGCUUUGUGUUGGUGAUUUCAAUGAAACCUUGACGGCAUCUGAGCAUUUCUCGCGCACGGAUCGGUCUGAAUAUCAAAUGAGGGCGUUUAGAGAGGCAGUUGAUGACUGCUCGCUUUGUGACCUUGGCUGGUCAAGAGCGGAGCAUACAUGGGAUAAUGGACAACAAGGAGAUGCAAAUGUGAAAGCCAGGCUGGACCGCGGGCUUGGCAACCUGUAG
rnacentral:rRNA from 1 species